GGGGUUGUGACUCAGUGGCAGAGUGCUUGCCUAGUAUGUAUGAGGCACUGGGUUCAAGUCUCAGCACUGCA
rnacentral:tRNA from 1 species